UACGUAGGUGACCAGCGUUGUCCGGAAUUACUGGGUGUAAAGCGCGUGUAGGCGGCAGACCAAGUCGGCGGUGAAAGCGCCCGGCUCAACUGGGCGAGGUCCGUGGAAACUGGUCAGCUGGAGGACGGUAGAGGCGAGUGGAAUUCCCAGUGUAGUGGUGAAAUGCGUAGAGAUCGGGAGGAACACCUGUGGCGAAGGCGGCUCGCUGGGCCGGUCCUGACGCUGAGACGCGAAGGCGUGGGGAGCGAACGGG
rnacentral:rRNA from 1 species